rnacentral:rRNA from 1 species
AACGAACGCUGGCGGCAUGCCUAACACAUGCAAGUCGAACGAGACCUUCGGGUCUAGUGGCGCACGGGUGCGUAACGCGUGGGAACCUGCCCUUAGGUUCGGAAUAACUCCCCGAAAGGGGUGCUAAUACCGGAUAAUGUCUUCGGACCAAAGAUUUAUCGCCUUUGGAUGGGCCCGCGUUGGUUUAGCUAGUUGGUAGGGUAAAAGCCUACCAAGGCGACGAUCCAUAGCUGGUGUGAGAGGAUGAUCAGCCACACUGGGACUGUGACACGGCCCAGACGCCUACGGGAGGCGGCAGUGGUGAAUAUUGGGCACUGGGCGGAAGCCUGAUCCAGCAGUGCCGCGUGAGUGAUGAAGGCCUUAGGGUUGUAAAGGUCUUUUACCCGGCAUGAUAAUGCCGGUACCGGGAGAAUAGGCCCCGGUUACUACCGU